rnacentral:rRNA from 1 species
CUCGACGGCCACGCCACCCCGAAUGUGCUCAAUCUCGUCCGCUCUCGGAAGCUAAGCAGGGUCGGGCCUGGUUGGUACUUGGAGGGGAGACCACCUAGGAAGACCGGGUGCUGUCGGUG